rnacentral:rRNA from 1 species
UACACUCCUGCGGGAGGCAGCAGUGGGGAAUAUUGCACAAUGGGCGCAAGCCUGAUGCAGCCAUGCCGCGUGUAUGAAGAAGGCCUUCGGGUUGUAAAGUACUUUCAGCGGGGAGGAAGGCAAUACGGUUAAUAACCGUGUUGAUUGACGUUACCCGCAGAAGAAGCACCGGCUAACUCCGUGCCAGCAGCCGCGGUAAUACGGAGGGUGCAAGCGUUAAUCGGAAUUACUGGGCGUACAGCGCACGCAGGCGGUCUGUCAAGUCGGAUGUGAAAUCCCCGGGCUCAACCUGGGAACUGCAUUCGAAACUGGCAGGCUUGGGUCUUGUAGAGGGGGGUAGAAUUCCAGGUGUAGCGGUGAAAUGCGUAGAGAUCUGGAGGAAUACCGGUGGCGAAGGCGGCCCCCUGGACAAAGACUGACGCUCAGGUGCGAAAGCGUGGGGAGCAAACAGGAUUAGAAACCCGAGUAGUCCCAUG